rnacentral:rRNA from 1 species
GAUGAACGCUGGCGGCGUGCUUAACACAUGCAAGUCGAACGGAAAGGCCCAAGCUUGCUUGGGUACUCGAGUGGCGAACGGGUGAGUAACACGUGGGUGAUCUGCCCUGCACUUCGGGAUAAGCCUGGGAAACUGGGUCUAAUACCGGAUAGGACCACUUCUUGGAUGUUGUGGUGGAAAGUUUUUUCGGUGUGGGAUGAGCUCGCGGCCUAUCAGCUUGUUGGUGGGGUAAUGGCCUACCAAGGCGUCGACGGGUAGCCGGCCUGAGAGGGUGUACGGCCACAUUGGGACUGAGAUACGGCCCAGACUCCUACGGGAGGCAGCAGUGGGGAAGAUUGCACAAUGGGCGCAAGCCUGAUGCAGCGACGCCGCGUGGGGGAUGACGGCCUUCGGGUUGUAAACGCCUUUCGCUAGGGACGAAGCGUUUUGUGACGGUACCUGGAGAAGAAGCACCGGCUAACUACGUG